rnacentral:rRNA from 1 species
CUCGUAGUUGAAUUUCGGGAUUAGUACGUCGGUCGUGCCUUCGGUACGUACUGGUGUUACUGGAUUCCUACCUUCUGACGAACCAUCAUGUCAUUAAUUUGGUGUGGCGGGGAAUCAGGACUGUUACUUUGAAAAAUUAGAGUGUUUAAAGCAGGCUCGCGCUUGAAUACAUUAGCAUGGAAUAAUGAAAUAGGACGUUGCCCUAUUUUGUUGGUUUCUAGGAUUGACGUAAUGAUUAAUAGGGAUAUUGGGGGGCAUUAGUAUUCAAUUGUCAGAGGUGAAAUUCUUUGGAUUUAUUGAAGACUAACUACUGCGAAAGCAUUUGCCAAGGAUGUUUUCAUUAAUCAAGAACGAAAGUUAGGGGGAUCGAAGACGAUCAGAUACCGUCGUAGUCUUAACCAUAAACUAUGCCGACUAGGGAUCGGAUGAUGUUAUUUUUUAAUGACUCAUUCGGCGCCUUACG